GAUGAGAAAAUAUUUAUUUAACUUAAGUCGAAUCACAAGGACAUCAGCAAACAAUGGAAAGAAAUCAAUCAGGCAUGCUCGAAAGGAGGUCUGAACUUGUCACAACUUUGAAAGCCACUUUAGAGGGAAGUUCUUCAUAUAUAAAAAGCAUACGAACAUGUUGAGUUGAAAGAAGACGGCAUGCCUUUGAAAAAAAUCAGUAGGUAAUGGUUGUCACAUAAGUCAGUAAUGCAGAAGAGAAAUAGCAUCUAGUAGCAUACAAAAUGUCCAAUGCAAAAGGUCUU
rnacentral:lncRNA from 1 species